rnacentral:rRNA from 2 species
AAACCAACAGGGAUUGCCCUAGUAACGGCGAGUGAACAGGCAAGAGCUCAGAUUUGAAAGCCUUUUUGGCAUUGUAUUCUGAAGUCAGUUUCCUGAGUAUCGGUGUUUAAGUCUUCUGGAAAGGAGCGCCAUGGAGGGUGAUAGCCCCGUACGGCACCUCACUCAUUGUAGGAUUCUGACGUGGAGUCGAGUUGUUUGGGAAUGCAGCUCAAAAGGGUGGUAUGCUCCAUCUAAAGCUAAAUAUCUGUGAGAGACCGAUAGCGAACAAGUACUGUGAAGGAAAGAUGAAAAGAACUUUGAAAAGAGAGUGAAAAAGUACGUGAAAUUGUUGAAAUGGAAGGAUAUGCCGCUAACAAUGUAGAGCCGUGUUUGGGGGGAAGACAAAAGCUGAAGAAUGUAUCUCUUUUAGGGAAUUAUAACUUCAGUCAAUAUUCCCAUCCGGGCGCGAGGACCUCAGGCUCUACUAAAUGGUGGUCUAUCAC